UGAGUACGAGAUGCUACGGCAUCGAAGCAGUCUAUGUCAUACUUCCAAGAAAAGCUUGCACUGUCAGAAACAGAUAAUGCCUGUACCAUAACCGACACAGGUGGGUAGGUAGAGUAUACUAAGGGGCGCGAGAUAACUCUCUCUAAGGAACUCGGCAAAAUGACUCCGUAACUUCGGGAGAAGGAGUGCCUUAUUUUUAAGGUUGCAAUAACAAGAUCCAAGCAACUGUUUACCAAAAACACAGGUCUCCGCUAAGUCGUAAGACGAUGUAUGGGGGCUGACGCCUGCCCAGUGCCAGAAGGUUAAAGAAGUCGGUUAGCAUUCGCGAAGCUGGUAACUGAAGCCCUGGUGAACGGCGGCCGUAACCAUAACGGUCCUAAGGUAGCGAAAUUCCUUGUCGGGUAAGUUCCGACCCGCACGAAAGGCGUAAUGAUUUGGAUACUGUCUCGGAGAGGGGCUCGGUGAAAUAGACUUGUCUGUGAAGAUGCGGACUACCUGCACCUGGACAGAAAGACCCUAUGAAGCUUUACUGUAACUUGAAAUUGAAAUUGGACUUUAUUUGCGCAGUAUAGGUGGGAGGCGUUGAAAAUAUUCUUGCGGGAAUAUUGGAGCCAUCAGUGAGAUGCCACUCUUGUAAUGUUAGAUUUCUAACUUUAUAUCAUUAUCUGGUUAAAGAACAGUUUCAGGCGGGCAGUUUGACUGGGGCGGUCGCCUCCCAAAUGGUAACGGAGGCGCACAAAGGUUUCCUCUGAACGGGUAGAAAUCGUAUCUAGAGUGUAAAGGCAUAAGGAAGCUUGACUGUGAGACCUACAAGUCGAGCAGGGACGAAAGUCGGUCUUAGUGAUCUGACGGUGCUGAGUGGAAAGGCCGUCACUCAACGGAUAAAAGUUACUCUAGGAUAACAGGCUGAUCUCCCCCAAGAGUUCACAUCGACGGGGAGGUUUGGCACCUCGAUGUCGGCUCAUCGCAUCCUGGGGCGGUAGUACGUCCCAAGGGUUGGGCUGUUCGCCCAUGAAAGCGGUACGCGAGCUGGGUUCAGAACGUCGUGAGACAGUUCGGUCCAUAUCCGGUGUAGGCGUUAGAAUAUUGAGAGGAGCCUUCUUUAGUACGAGAGGACCGAGAAGGACAUACCUCUGGUGUACCAGUUAUCGUGCCAACGGUAAACGCUGGGUAGCUAUGUAUGGAGUGGAUAACCGCUGAAAGCAUCUAAGUGGGAAGCCCACCUCAAGAUAAG
rnacentral:rRNA from 1 species